GAUGAACGCUAGCGGCAGGCUUAAUACAUGCAAGUUGAGGGGCAGCAUGAUAUACGCGAGUAUAUUGAUGGCGACCGGCGGACGGGUGAGUAAUAGGUAGGAGACCUACCUCAUACAGGGGGAUAGCAUAGAGAAAUCUGUGGUAAUACCCCAUGAGGUUAUAUGAAUAGAGGCAUAUAAUCAAAGCAUAAGCGAUUAUGCGGUAUGAGAGGGGCCUACUGACCAUUAGCUAGUUGGUGAGGUAAGGGCUCACCAAGGCGAAGAUGGUUAGGGGUUUUGAGAGAGAGACCCCCCACAUUGGAACUGAGAGACGGUCCAGACUCCUACGGGAGGCAGCAGUGGGGAAUCUUGGACAAUGGGCGAAAGCCUGAUCCAGCGACGCCGCGUGAACGAGGGAGCCCGUUCGGGGUGUAAAGUUCUUUUACUAUACGAGCAGUGCUAUAUAUAUGGAUAGUAUAUAUAGAGGAUAGUAGUAUAGG
rnacentral:rRNA from 1 species